GACGGGUGAGUAACGCGUGGGUAACCUGCCUCAUACAGGGGGAUAACAGUCGGAAACGGCUGCUAAAACCGCAUAAGCAUACAGUAUCGCAUGGUACAGUGUGAAAAUAUUUAUAGGUAUGAGAUGGGCCCGCGUCUGAUUAGCUAGUUGGUGAGAUAAAAGCUUACCAAGGCGACGAUCAGUAGCCGGCUUGAGAGAGUGACCGGCCACAUUGGGACUGAGACACGGCCCAAACUCCUACGGGAGGCAGCAGUGGGGAAUAUUGCGCAAUGGGGGAAACCCUGAUGCAGCGACGCCGCGUGAGUGAAGAAGUAUUUCGGUAUGUAAAGCUCUAUCAGCAGGGAAGAAAUUGACGGUACCUGACUAAGAAGCCCCGGCUAACUACGUGCCAGCAGCCGCGGUAAUACGUAAGGGGCAAGCGUUAUCCGGAUUUAUUGGGUGUAAAGGGAGCGUAGUGGCAUAUCAAGUCAGAUGUGAAAGCCCGGGGCUCAACCCCGGGAUUGCAUUUGAAACUGGUAUGCUAAAGUGCAGAGAGGUAAGUGGAAUUCCUAAUGUACGGUGAAAUGCGUAAAUUUUAGAGGAACACCAUGGCCAAGGCGGCUUACUGGACUGUUACUGACCUGAUGCUCCAAACGUGGGGACCACAGAUUAUAUUCCCUGUAUUCCCCCUCAUAAUACUACGUUUCUGUUCACCUUCCCUGCCUUCCACCCUUUUUUUCCCCUAUUUUCUUUC
rnacentral:rRNA from 1 species